rnacentral:misc_RNA from 1 species
UUGAUUGAUUUUUUAUGUUCUCAGACGUCAAAAUAGGCUGCGUGUAAAACUUCGGCAGGCGCUCGCCCACUGACGUCGACGGCGGCCGGGGCCGACGUCCCGCCGAAGCAACUGGACAGAUAUACAAGUGUGGAGAGCGACCGCUCAAAAGAGACGGCCGGUAACUCGGUAAUGAUCCUUCCGCAGGUUCACCUACGGAAA